GCCAGAAUAGCUCAGCGGUAGAGCAAGAGACUGAAAAUCUCUGUGUCGUUUGUUCGAUUCAAACUUUUGGCA
rnacentral:tRNA from 1 species